rnacentral:rRNA from 1 species
AGCCAGACUCCUACGGGAGGCAGCAGUGGGGAAUAUUGCACAAUGGGGGAAACCCUGAUGCAGCGACGCCGCGUGAGCGAUGAAGUAUUUCGGUAUGUAAAGCUCUAUCAGCAGGGAAGAAGAUGACGGUACCUGACUAAGAAGCCCCGGCUAACUACGUGCCAGCAGCCGCGGUAAUACGUAGGGGGCAAGCGUUAUCCGGAUUUACUGGGUGUAAAGGGAGCGUAGACGGCGAUGCAAGCCAGAUGUGAAAGCCCGGGGCUCAACCCCGGGACUGCAUUUGGAACUGUGUGGCUGGAGUGUCGGAGAGGCAGGCGGAAUUCCUAGUGUAGCGGUGAAAUGCGUAGAUAUUAGGAGGAACACCAGUGGCGAAGGCGGCCUGCUGGACGAUGACUGACGUUGAGGCUCGAAAGCGUGGGGAGCAAACAGGAUUAGAUACCCUUGUAAG